rnacentral:lncRNA from 1 species
GUAGUGUUUCGCCAAAACCCAAGUCCGCGCUUGGCCGCUAGGGUUUCAGUUGCCUCUGAAAUUAGUCUAUUCACUUCAUUAGAAUUCCAUUGUUGUAUCUUUGUUUUGGUUUUUCUGGUUCAAUUCAAAUCGGGACAGUGAUGAUUCAUAUUGAUAAGGUCUCGUUCGUCGUAAUUGGCCGUGAAGGCCUUGCCGACCAUCCUGUUAUAUCACCACCCAUAUUCUGAGUCCCUUUCAUCUCAAUUUGAAAAAAUGUUUUGUUUUUUCAUAUCUUUGUGUUGUCAUCUGGUUAUUUUGAAAUUGGGUUUUUAUUUAUCAAAUUGCUUUUGGUGAUGCUGCAAAAGUCUUUGUGGGUUACUUCUCAGCCGAUGAUUAAAAGUAAAUAUUUAGACAAGCAUAUGUCUGAAUUAUUCUAUGUGGAACAACCUAAUCUUCUCUAUGAGGCUGAUCAUCUUCAUUUUCUGUGUGUUAGGAACAUGAAAUUUUGGAUUUUUCAUUUCGUUUGAAUUUAUGCCCUUGGAUUAGUAAGCAAAUGAGCAGUAUGAUUUGCACGUAGCUGCCUGUGAUGAGGAUAUGGUUUCGUGUAAUUUAUGACUAUCAGUGAUUACAUAUAUACCUCUACUGCCUUCCUUCUGAGGCUCAUAAUUUCUCUGUAUAUCUUACGUACUUGUUAGCUACAUGAGGGCUUUUUUUUUAAACGAUCUGAAAAAAAGUUGGUUAAUUUCAUUAUGGGUCGAGUGAUGAUCAAAUGCAUAGUUCAGCUGAUAUCUGCGUGAUUAAUGCAAUUUUAGUCUUUCGCUCCUAUCUGACGAUCCUUAUGAAUUAAUCUGUAGUUAUGGUUUUUGAACUUUCUAGUGUUUUCGAGUUUUAAAGUUGUUUUCUUGGAUACCAGGGAAAAUAUUUUGCUCUUCCGCUCUGGUAGCAAUGUGUACAAAAGCAUUGUUACUUGUGUUCAAAAUGGCCAGUGAUUUAAAUCUUUUUCUAGACAAGCAUAUGUCUGAAACUGUUGGUGCUGAUAAACUUAUUUCUAUGAGGCCUGUUCCUCUUGCCUUGAACUUACAUUGCCUAGUAAGAACAUGCUUACCUAAUCUCCUUAUGUAUGAGCUUUUGGUGGAGAUAUUUAAUAGGUUGUUAUUUGGCGGAUCUAGAUUUGUAGUUUUAGAUCGAACAAGUGGACUGUGAGGAUGUAUUAUUGGUCUCGUUCGUCGUAAUGGCUCUUGGGCCUUGCCGACUAGAGUGAUAUAUCACCACCCAUAGUCUGAGUCCUGUAAAACUAACUGUUGCUUUAGCAAUUUACUCUGUUUUGGUUGGUUACAAGCUUUCAAUGUUUGUUAAUGUUGCUUGAAAUUUUGCCCCAGUUUCUUAUUCAGGUUUCUGUUGUGCACGGUGAUGUACUCGAGACUUUUUAGAGGCCUUCUCCAGCGCCGGAAGAGACUAAAGCUGGCAUUGUUACAUUCUCUGUGGGAUGGUUUGGCCUGCUCCAAAUGCUGUUCUAGAUUCUCUUUCAAUUUGUUUUGUAUUUUUGGCCAUGGGCUUUGUUGUAAACCCAGAAAGAACAAAUUUACAUUUUCUUCUGAAAUAUAUAUGGAUGUUGAAGAAGUUUUGUGUACCAAAUGUUCUAUGGUUCAUAUGUUUUAUUCUUUAUGUUGCUUUGGUAUAUUCUCG